UUAUUCCUACGGGACGCAGCAGUCGAGAAUCAUUCACAAUGGGGGAAACCCUGAUGGUGCGACGCCGCGUGGGGGAAUGAAGGUCUUCGGAUUGUAAACCCCUGUCAUGUGGGAGCAAAUUAAAAAGAUAGUACCACAAGAGGAAGAGACGGCUACCUCUGUGCCAGCAGCCGCGGCAAUACAGCGGUCUCAAGCGUUGUUCGGAAUCACUGGGCUUAAAGCGUGCGUAGGCUGUUUCGUACGUCGUGUGUGAUAGGCGCUGGCUCAACCCGCG
rnacentral:rRNA from 1 species